UCCAUUCGUGUUUUUGUUUUUUGGGUUUUGAGUUUUGAUCGAGAUGGCCGCCCAGUACACCCAGGAUCAGUCGACUGAGUUCCGUCCCGAGCUGGAUGAGCCCAGGAGGACGACGACGACGACCACAUCCACGACCGGGAGUGGUCUGGAGAAUGAGAACUUCGGUGGGUAUGGCGGCGUGAGUGAGAACGAGCCCCCGCGCCACAAGAUCCACUCCGAGGAUGAGCCCCUGCCUAAGCCCAUGAGCGGAACGUACUUGGAUGAGGAGGGUGCCAAGUUGGACCAGGACUCUGAUCGGUCUGGGUUAGGGGCGUCAGAUCUCGGCAGGGAUGAGCACAUCAUGCCCAAGCCCACUAGUGAGGGUUAUCCUGCAGGAACUCCACAGAGCACCGAGAAGUACCAGGAGCAUCGAGACUUGGAGCCCACCCGCUUAGAUGGUAAACUUUGGAUGCAUUUUUGAUGACGGAAAAUAAUCUUCUUUCUGAUUUUUCUCUCAAGGGGAUAGUUCAAUUGAUGAGGUGGACUUGGCAGAAGAUGAAUUUGAUAUGAACUGUUUGAUUCAUGUUUUUCUUACAGAGAGUCCGAAGACAGAGGAGUUCGGUGCUGCGAACGCUAGCACAGGAGAUUUUGACCGCACCUCUAGCGAUGGGCUCCGAACUGACAAAACCCCGGCUUCGGAAC
rnacentral:lncRNA from 1 species